rnacentral:piRNA from 1 species
UGCAGCUCGUGCGAUUGAAGC